CGCUCGCCACCUGUGAGAUCCCGUGGGAUCUAUCAUCUCCCUCGCCGGUAAAAGCUCCUCCACCUCACCUGCUGGCCGAACCCUCUCCCUCUCCUCCCUUCCAAAGCCGACAGCCAAGGAGGCUCGUGCCAACAAAAAUCAGAGAGGAGCUUGCCUGUGUUUACAAAUCAAGGUGGGGAGCUUGAGAUCCAGCGCCACCUGCCGGAUCGACGAAUGAAGCUCGGGAUCCAGCGGCUAGGAGCAGCACCCUUGCUACACAUCUUCCCCAGCUCAUCUCCCGACGAGGACCGUGGUGGCUGCCUCCAACAACGCCAGUCGAUGGGCUCCCCAGCUGCACCACAUCCUCAGGUCGCCGUCUCCUACAACCGGCAACGCUGAUCCGCGCGGGGAGGGCCUGGAUCCCGCGCGUUGUGGCCACACGGCAAUGCGGGGUAUGAAGGUUGCUACACCCCACUUCGCGAUGGACAGAGGGAGGGGAAGCUCCUCCGUCGGGCGUUCGCCGGCUCGCAGGUGAGCCGCCCCAUGUGUCCCGCUUUUUCCGGCGUCCCUUCUCAGCUGCGGGAGCAGCAGUGGCUGCGUCGUCGUGCAGUUCACUAGCUGGUGCACACUCAUGGGUGAUUUAUAUAUUCUCUUUGAGUAUGGCGUGAUAGGCCAUGUAUUUCUUCCUGGUUCGAGUUAAUGAUUCGAGCCGUCAGAAUGUCAUUUGGUUCAUUGGUCUGUUUUUGCAGGUUUUGUGAAUUCCAUCUGAAGAGGUACUUUGAGUAUAAUAUCAUUUCAGGCAUAACUCAUAUAGAUUUCUCCUUCUUUUGCUGUCACUUUGUUACUGCUAGCCGAAUUAGAAUCCCAUGGCGUGGCUAAAUUCAUGAUAGAAUCGCCAAUAGUCUUAAUUCCCCACACAACUAUACAGUUAAAUACAUCAAAAUAUAUGCAGGUAAUCUUAUUUGACAAUAGUAGAGUUGUGUGGAUUUGUUGCAAUACGAAUCUGAUGCCUAUGGCUGAGUAUAGAUCUGCAUAACACUAUUUUAUUUAUGAAGCAUCGUUGGUGUAUUUGUGUCCUCUUUUACUAUUAUUAAUGCAUGAGCGAAUCUACGAGUGAGGAUGCUCUUUUUAAAAUCGUUUUGCAUAACCUAUAUGGUGCAGACUCAUGUUAAGAUUCUUUCCAAGUCUGACAUUUGUGAUCUUUCUAAGCAUUUGGAGUUUUUUCUAAGAGGAUCCCUUGAAGUUUUAUUUCCAAAGUACAAACACACUAUUUGAACAACAUAUAGGCAGUUUAACAGUGUGAUACUAAGUUUUCGAACCUGGCCAGCUUAGAUGUACAUCACUCUGAGCUAAGAGAAUGAUGGUCGUUGGCUUUAAUAUAACAUAAAGCAGGGUGAAAGCCUUUUUUGGCUAAGAGAGUGAUGGAAGAGUAUAAUGAUUUUAUUCAGGCUCAACGUCCCUAGCAGCGGUUGGACUAUGGAUACUACCAUUUCUCCUGCCCGGCCUGUGAUAUUGGUGCUUGCUCCCCAUACGGACUCACAGUUCUUCUCUCCGACUCCUCGCAAUGGUCGUCGGCAAAUGCCGGAAGGUUACUUAUCAUUUCUCCACCUAUCCGGCGAUUCCCCUGCAAUGUCGUAUGUGUUAUUUCUGUUGUCUAUGUGCAUGUGGGAGGGAAUUUUGGACCUAGGGGGCGUACGCAAUGGCGGAUGUGGUGUUAGCAUGUAUAGAUCUGAAUGGGCCGUAGAAGCACGAGAAGGAGCAGACGGCUCACAUGAAACUAUGACAGAAUAGGCAAACAACCUACCACGACCAACAGAGAAACGGCGCGGCAAAGCGCGUGUGUACAUCUAGUGAUAUUUGAAAGAAG
rnacentral:lncRNA from 1 species